rnacentral:lncRNA from 1 species
UUAAAUCUCUCUUAAGCUCUCUCUCUCUCACAGACCCCCCCUCAGGCUGAAAAGAAAAAAAGAAACAAAGAAGAAGAAAUACUUUCUUCCUCUCCUGCCGCACAUCACUUCCACCCACACAGCACAUCCACCGCACCCCGUCUUCCUCUUCACACCAAAACCACCUCCAUCUUCCUCUCUAAAUCCAGCCGAAAAAUCGUUUCUUUCGCCUCCUAAAAACAAUCACCACCGUUCACCACCGAAACAACCUCCACCAUGCACCUCCGUCCGGCGAACCAUCAUCCUCACUCCCUUUCCUUAAUAACUCCCUCGCCGCUACAACCGCCGACAAACCCAACCUACCAUCAUCCCCCAUCGUCUUCACCAUACUAACACCUCAUUCUCGCUUCCGUCAAAACAACCAACUGCGCCUCCGGCGGUUCUCCACCACUUCGUCCUCUGGAUUCAACACCUCCAACCUUCGUCUCUGUUGAAUUUCCAUCUGGUUUAGAAGGAUAACACCUCAUUCUCGCUUCCGUCAAAACAACCAACUGCGCCUCCGGCGGUUCUCCACCACUUCGUCCUCUGGAUUCAACACCUCCAACCUUCGUCUCUGUUGAAUUUCCAUCUGGUUUAGAAGGCUCGUUCAGCCAUCACUGUAUGUUGCAAUAGUGGCGGUGACGACGUUUCUUUUGUGACUUAAAAACUCUGAAAAAAGACCAGGUUUUGUAAAGGUAAGACAAUAACGACCACAACCUCGACUCAACUCGUGUUUCCGCAACAACGGGAAUUUGCGCAACUUCGCCUCGUUUCUUUCCGUCGGGCUUCCAUAACCGAAAAAACCAAACAACAAACCUUCCAGCUCUGCAACGACAACAAAUGACAGCAGUGACACAACUUCGGUAAAUAUAUCGAUUUCGUAUGCUUAAUGUGUUAUGAUUUUGAGAAUAAUUUUGUUAUUACAGUAAACUUUUAUCACUGGUUUGUGUUGAUUUCUCUUGUAUCACAACUUGUUGUAACUAUUAUAGUAAUAUGGAUAUUCUAAAAUUGAUUCCAUUUGGUAGUCGGUUUGAAUACGACUUUGGCCUAAUUAUUCUCUACUGAUUUCAUAUUGUAUUUUAGUCUGUAGAUUAUCUUACCAAAGUGUUGCUGCAACUAACUCUAGAAGGUUUUUGCUGUUAUGAUAAUUUGUGAGCAUUAUACAUAUUGAAUUGCAACUUAUAUUUGGCACGUCCAGUUGGUUUUCUGUUUGGCAAAGUGUUAACAUAUUGAAUUGCAACUUAUAUUUGGCACGUCCAGUUGGUUUUCUGUUUGGCAAAGUGUUAUAUUGUUCUUAUGGGCAAGGCUUUUGUUUAUUGUUAUAUCCAACAGGUUUGUUGAUGUUAUUCUCGUUACGUCCUGUUAAUCGUAUCAUGUUGAUUCUGUGGGCAUAUUGAACUUCAUGAUGUGUUAUGUCGGGGUAAUUUAGUAUUGAUUACAAUGGAUUGGUUACAGGUUUACUGCUAUUAUUUUCUUGCUGCGGAAUUAAAAUGGUUUGGCAUCGCGUAUAACAGUUUAUGUCAUGUUUUCCUGGAUGUUAUGCUGUUUGUUAUAGCCAUAGUUUUGGUUUUGAUUCGGUUGCAAUAAUCUAUGUUGAUGGGUAUGUUGUAAUAUUCUUUUCUGGGGCAUUUUCGAUGUGAUCGUGUUGUUGUUGUUGUGUGCUUAAGUUGUCGCGUUUAAAAUUGAAUAUCAUUCGCAGCUUCGACGUGUAAAUGUUUCAAUUAUAUUUCUGUUUCAAUUGCAUAUUUACUUCCUUUCCGAUUGGGUUAUACCGUUUUGGUAUUCGAUAUUAUAAUGUUGAAAAUACUGUUAUAAACAGGAAAUUGUAUCAUAUUCUGGUCCUGUUCUAGCUGUUGAAUCAUGCUUAUAGCUCUAAUAUUUGUUUCGGUUUCAAUAUGGUUGCAUUACAUGUCGGUUUUAUUGCAUAAAUUUCAAUGCCGUAUAUUCUGUGAUGGAGUGUGUUUCGGGAUGAAUAACCUUGUAAAUAUUCAUAAGUUGUUUUUUUAUUAUGCUACAUUAUUAUGCUAGUUUCUAUAAUAUUGAUUCAGUGGAAGAUUCUUAUAAGGUUCAAGGUAUAUCAUGUACUGUUUUUCUAUAGGCUUUUCUUGUUAAUUUUGAUUUGUUUACAUUGUUGUUGGUGUUUGUUUUGUAACUGUUUUUCUAUAGGCUUUUCUUGUUAAUUUUGAUUUGUUUACAUUGUUGUUGGUGUUUGUUUUGUAUAAAAGCAUUUGUGAGUAUCCUGUAUAUUGGGCAUUUGGGGAUUGUGUAGAUGUUGUUAGUUGGUGCUCAUUCUUGGCUUAAGUUUGAUACUAUUAUGAACUUGCCAUGAAUUCUUUCGUGGUAAUUUCCAAAAGGAUGCGCACGGAGUUGAUGAGUGUUAAUCAUGUUUGGUGGAUAUUUCCCAAAACUUAUGUUCUUCCAUUUCUAAACAUUCUGAUAUUGUUAAGUUUUUUUUUUAAAAUUAUUAAAGUAGUGUACAUUGAAUAAUUAGAUUUUAGUUUUGUUUCUAAUAGUCUAAUGAUUAUUAGUUAUUGAAACUCAAUUUUAUGUUUUGUUCCCGAGAGCACAAUUGGUUUUGUUUUGGUUGGUUGUGUUAAAAGAAACAUAGACUUUUUAUUUAGUCUCUGAUGUAAUCCCUUUUAUUUUACCAUUGUGAAAAUGAAUUGUAUCUUUCUAUCCAUGGGUAUAGCACAAUUGGUUUUGUUUUGGUUGGUUGUGUUAAAAGAAACAUAGACUUUUUAUUUAGUCUCUGAUGUAAUCCCUUUUAUUUUACCAUUGUGAAAAUGAAUUGUAUCUUUCUAUCCAUGGGUAUCUUUUCAUUUAUAGUGUGCCCAUUAAGAGUGCAAUGUAAAUAUAAUAUUGUGUUGCUACUAUUUCAUUCCAUUUUAAACCGGUUUUUUUUUACUUACGGAUUCGACUCUAUGUCGUUAUGCCGUCAAAAUUUCUAUAAAUUAAUUGUAUAUUUUCACCGUGUUACGAUCUUGUGUAUGACACAAAUCAUAUUGUCAUUUCGCUCUAACCGGUUUUGAGCAUAUUGUAACCAAUUCAAUCCAAUCUUUUUUUAAUCGACGUUAUCACAUAUUUUCAUUCUUUUAAUUAAAUUGAUUAAUAAUCAAUUGAAAUUUUGCUUAACUAGUUAAUUACUAUUAAUUAAUUUUAAUUAACAUGAUUAUUUGGUUUGAAUAAAUAAUUUGAUAAUUAAUCUUAAUUAAUUUAAUUAAUCAAUUUAAUCAAACUUUAAUUAAUUAAUUUGGUUAAUUAAAUAUUGAUUGAUUUAUUUCAUUCCAUUUCAUCAUCAAUCCAAAACCAUUAAAAUCAUAAUUCUCGAUUCAAAAUCGAGCCAAUUUUCCAAAACCUUUGUAAGUCGAUCGCUUUUAAAGCAUCGUCGUCAACCUCAUAUAGCUUACUCUUGGGCUUUCUUACAAUGAGACCUAUUCGAUUUUUUAGUCGAGUAGAUGAUUGAUUCACUAAUAAAAUCCAUUUCAUUCGUAAACACAAAUUUAAAACCUCAAUCCAACAUCGAGUAUUCUUAUUUAAAAUUAAAUUGAAAUACCUAAUCAUAAUUAAACACCAUUUCAUUUGGAAAUGAAAAAGGGGAUGGUUUUGAGUUUUCAACUUCUCUCCUCGAUUAUUUGAAUACGAGUUCUCUUACUCGGUUAGUCAAAUGGUCGUCACUUCUAUCCACCUAAGCACAAACAAAUCGAAUCAUUUUAUAAUAAGAAACGAAAAAGGAGAUGACUUUGAGUUUUCAAUUUUUCUCCUCGAUUAUUUGAAUACAAGUUCUCUUACUUGGUUAGUCAAAUAAUUGUCGUUUCUCUACAAACUUCUAAACCCGAUGAAAUCAAAAACCUAUCAUAAUAAGUGAAAUGAAAAAGGAGAUGGUCUUGAGUUUUCAAUUCUCUUUUCAAAUGCUUGGAUGUGAGUUGUUUUACUCAGUCGUUCAAGUACUUGUCGUUCAUUCCUAUUUUCAUAGUCACUCAGAUGAAAAAGAAAGUGGUCUAGAGUCUUCUAUUCCCUUUCCCGAUUAUUGGGAUACGAGUUGUCUUACUCGGUUAUCCGAGUAUUCGUCAUCCAUUCAAAAUACAUUAAUCAUCAUUAAAAUCCUUUUACAAUUAAGGAUGAAAAAGAAAGCGGUAUAGAGUCUUUUAUUCCCUUUCCCGGUUAUUGGGAUACGAGUUGUCUUACUUGACUAUCCGAGUAAUCGUCAUCCAACCAAAAAUAUCUCAACACAUCAAAUCUAUCUUUUCUCGCCCUCGUGCGAUCAAAACCAAUCAAACAAAACGUCAAACAUAUUAAUCCAACUUGUCACCCUCGUGUGAUCAAAACUGUUUUCAGAAAGAACAUUGUUAAUCCUUUCUAAUGCGCACAACAAACUAGUGCUUAAGCCUCCGCCGAGAGUAGACAAGCCAACGUUUAGCCUUUAGAAUGUGAUCUAAACAGUUAUUCAUAAAAAACACACUAACCAACCGCAGUCCCCGAACUACGAAUGCUCUAAUUUCCUUAUUGCACCAUAAGGAUACGUAGGCAGGAGAUUGAUGUAUCUUCGCGAGCACACUAAUAAAAAACCUCCCAUUUCCCUUUUUGAGGUUCCCAUAAAUUUCUAUUUACAAUAAUUUUAUGACCCAAAAGAUAACAAACAAACAUAAAUUAACACUCGAAACACAUAUUAGAACUAAAAGGUUCUCGUUGAGUACAACGGACGUAAGGGGUGUUGAUACCUUCUCCUUACGUAAUCCACUCCCGAACCCGAAUAUGGUUGCGACGACCAUUAUUCCAUUCCCUAAAGGUUUUGUCAAUAUUUUCCUACCCCUUUGUUGGGAUAAAUAAAGUUCGGUGGCGACUCUGUUCGAACGUAAAUUUUUUCCGCGACCAUCGCGAGGAAUCGUAUUUUUCGAGAUGCGGCAGAUGGCGACUCUACUAGGGAUUAGCUCCAAGCAAAAGAGAGUGAAGCCUAAUUUAGUUUAAUUUCUGUAUUGUUUGUUUGAUUGUUAUUUUUGCUCUGUUAUUAUUAUUCUGUCAUAAUUAUUGUAUUGUGAUUUAUUGAUUAUGUCUUAUUUGGGGCUUUCUGUUAAUGGUGCUUUAUGAGAUAGGCUCUCUACCCGAGUCUGAGAAAAACCAUAAGAUUAAGUUGGUGGUUGCGUAGUGGACGCCCACAAGGGGUCUUCCUUGUUAGGAAGAUACGAAGACCUCGCCUAGAGGAGAUUCUCUUGAGAUAUUAUUGCCCGACGAGUCUUCGUCACGACGAUAGUAUUCUCAAGAUGGAUCAAUGGCUCUAGGGACCUUUUAACCCACUAUAUCCGGAGGUUAUGUAGUAUUUACCUACGAAGUUUCAGACUUGUUGGGUUAGUACGAAAGCCCCAAUCAGAUGAGAUCCCUUGGACGUAUUACUAUCUUACAUUAAUAUUUCCAACCUCGAUCUAUGACUCUGAGAACCUUGUUAGAACCUUGGACUCGAGAGUUGUGUAGUAGAAUCCCCAUGGAGCCUUCCUUGUUGGGAUAAUACGAAGACCUCACCUAGACGAGAUACUUGGACUCGAGAGUUGUGUAGUAGAAUCCCCAUGGAGCCUUCCUUGUUGGGAUAAUACGAAGACCUCACCUAGACGAGAUCUUCUUAAGGAUAUUAUUGUCCGACGAGUCUUCGUCACGGCAGUGACGUUCUUCAGAAAUAUUUGUGACUCUAGGGACCUAUCAACUGUAGAGCCUACCCAUGGGGUUACAUUAAUCAGAGAUACCCGUCAUUUACCCGUUAUUUUGAUCCGUCUGAGAACAUCGUAAACCUGUGAUCCUGAACAUGUCACUACAUUCAUACACAUAUCAUUGCAUCUGCAUUCAUCACGCAUUGCAUAUCAUUUUUUGCAAAAAAUAUACACAAAAAACUCAUCCACCAUUCGUCCAUAACCUGCACUUGAUUUCCCGACACUCAUAUUAGACUUGAAGUGAAUCUUGAAAGAUCAUGGAUCCAUUGGAGAAAAGUCAUAUUGCAUUAAGAGGAGAUGUUGACUCGAUGAAAAACCAGCUAGACCAACUUGUGGAAGCUAUGAUAACUUUAGCAAAAAGGGAAGACAACAUUCAGCAGGCUGCAGUCGUUGAGAAUGUUAUUUCAACUCCAGUAAAUGGUCCUACCCAACCUCAGCUUGUGCAAACCCUAGUUGGUAACUCUACUGUACAAGAACGUCAUGUUAUUCAAGAUUCCUCACGUCAUGACGUUGUUGAGUGUCACAGUUUUGCAUUCUCCGUGCCAGAUUCCCAUGGAACAAACCUAGUGGUUAAUGCUGAACAACCACAAGAUGAGGAGAUUGCUAAAAGAUGUUGCGUGCUAGAGAAAAGAUUUAAGGCCAUAGAAGGGAAAGAUACGGUUGAACUGAAUGCUUUGGAUAUGUGUUUGGUACCUGGCCUGGUUAUACCCACAAAAUUCAAAGCACCAGAAUUUGAGAAGUACAAAGGGGAUGGCUGUCCAAAGCACCAUUUGGUGAUGUUUUAUCGAAAAAUGACCUCUCAUGUCCAUGAUGAUAAGUUGAUGAUUCAUUGUUUCCAGGAUAGUUUGACUGGGGCAUCAUUAAGUUGGUACAUGAAGUUAGAAAGGAAUCAUGUUCAAUCAUGGUUGGACCUAGCUAACACAUUCUUGAAGCAAUAUAAAUAUAAUAUGGACAUAGCUCCCGACCGCAUGCAGCUAAGAGCCUUACCUCAAGAAGACAAUGAAUCCUUCAGAGGGUAUGCCCAAAGAUGGAGAGAGUUAGGGACUUGCGUUGAGCCACCACUCUUAGACAAAGAAUUGAUGGAAUUAUUCAGGGACACCCUGCAAAGUCCAUACUUCGAAAGGAUGAUUAACAUCGCAGCAUCGUACUUUGCUAACUUAGUGACAAUUGGAAAACGUGUCGAGAGUGCCCUAAAAAGCGGAAGAAUCCAAGGUGCCUCGAGCAACCAAGCUAGCGAGACAGAAUCCCUCAGCGAUUCCCAAAAGGAAGAGGAUGAUGAAAUAAAUGCAGUCAUGGCAAAUGUUGGGAAUUCUCACGAUGCACCAGCCAGACCUUAUGGUUCUUCACCUUCUCAUCAAUCACCAAUUCCAACACCACGUUAUCCUUAUAGGCAACCGGCAAGGCCUAGAGCACCAUCCAAGCAACCACAGACUGUUCAUCAUACAAAUCAAAGAUCUCAUGGUCAAGGAUAUAAGAAUCAGCAUCUGAACUAGCAUAGGCCUCGAAACAAUCUGGAGAGAAGGAAUGCACCUCUUGAUCCAAUUCCUAUGUCAUACAGUCAACUUCUGUCAUAUCUGAUUCAAAGCUCGCUGGUGGAGCCCAAGUCUCUCAGGCUAUUGUCAGAACCAUACCCACCUCGAUAUGAUCCUGGUGUGCAAUGUGGAUAUCAUGCCGGAACAAUAGGGCAUUCAACUGAAGACUGCAAUGCUUUCAAGGCUAAAGUGCAACAAUUGACCGACAAAAGGUACAUAUCCUUUUCAGAAGGAAGCAUGUUGGUGCAUGUUAACCUCUCAUUAGAAUAAGUUCAAAGAUUUCAUAGAGUAUCUCCUAAUGCGAGUAGUUCAGACGGGAAGACAUCCUCAACACUGGCAAUCGUUGGACUGAUUUGUUUCUAUUUUUGCAUUUGUAGUUUCUUUGUUGUUAAAAGCUGCUUGUGUUUAAACAUUGUUGUUUUUAAUGGUAAUAUUGAUGAAGUAUUGUUUCUAUUUUUGCAUUUGUAGUUUCUUUGUUGUUAAAAGCUGCUUGUGUUUAAACAUUGUUGUUUUUAAUGGUAAUAUUGAUGAAGUAAUGAUGCAUGUUUUGAAUUAAUUAUCUCGCAUUCGCCCAUUUUUCUUCUCUUAUAUCAAAAUCUAAAAAUACAUCAGUGUUUCUCCCAUUCACUUUUCUUUAUAAUAACUUUUGUUUUAGCAAAGAUUUGAGGGAGGAUGACGAAAACAAGAUACCCAUAACUGCUGACUGUAUGCUUUCGGAUAAAAUCCUACUGAUGAUGUAUAGGCAUUGUUUCAAAUCCCCAAACACUGGAGAGAUAAGGAGUUAAUCCCUAGUCAACCACUUCGAGCCUAGAAGUAGGAGUUUCUUUUGGAUAUACAAACCCUUAUGUUUAAACCGGGGCAGGGUAGUGUUCAGUUAGUCUGACUCCACAUUUGGAUUGCAAGGGAAUACAUUCCGUCUAUGGAUCAACCACAUGAUAUUCCUUACACACACCCUGAAGUGUCGAAGGAACCAUACAAAUCCAAAUUUUAUGUCGGUUGUUCUUCAAUGACCAAUGACUUGGCAGUCAUAGUUUCCAAAAAAAAUCAAAGAAAGAGCCCGCUAAGUCCAACACCCUAAAAGGAGACUUAGGCAAAAACUGGGGCAAUCCUGAUGGAUUAAAGCUUCAAUAAGUGGUCCAUGCAAAAGUUAGGGAUCAAAACAAAAAUCAAAAGAGGCAAUGAAAAUCCUCAACAAAAGAAAAUAAGAUCCGGUGACCGCCAUACCAAAAUCAAAGGGUCACCAACAUAAAAAAAAUGAAAUAAGAUGACUGCCAUUUCAAGAAAGCCUUGAAUCUUCAUCUUUCUCCUUACACUGUCAAGCCUUUUUGAUAAAUGUGUGUGUUGAAUUAACUGAGCUUAGGACUGGAGAUCAUCACGAAGAAGGGAUGGGUUAAAACAAAUUUGAGCCUUACAUCCUUUGUUUCAAUAACCAUAAACCAAGCCACAUUACAACCUUUAAAAGACCUAAUUGAGGUAAGGUUUACUCUGAAAGCAUACUACAGCAAGGUUGCAUAAACUGACUCCUAGAUAUUUGCUAAUCACCUGUAUUGGCAUCUUAUUCUCACCGUAUCUUUCACACUUUAAACUGCUAAAUCAGCAUUACAUUUGGACUCAUGGUCCACUCAUCACAUACUAUCACAUCAUUCCAAUAAAUGAUUCUUUUUCAAAACUUGCAUGAGUAUCGCAUUAAAAUUACCAUUUCUAAACAAACGAUUUUAACUGCAAGACAGUACUUGACGUCAGGGAAAUUCCAACAAUAAGGAACAAUCAGAGGAACUGGGACAUUCGUUGGCUAACCCGAAUCAAGACUACCUUACAACCUAUGAAUCUAAGGCAUGCCACCUAAACAUCAAUUGAUCAUAGGAAAAAUACUCCAAGAAUUGGUCAGUCUUAAAUAGUCUCCAACAUCUGUUAAUAAAUGUGCAAAUCAUUUCAAGAAUCAGUUGAUCCAGAGCAAAUCAUCUCAGGACUCUAUUAACUAGGGGAAGAUCACCUAAAGGUUCUGGUGGCCAGGGGCAGACCCCUUCAAUGUUCAGUUAAGGUAAGUUAAGUCGCUUCAACGCUCAUAUCGGGGCAAGCUACCUCAAGAGCACAGAAAGUCAACCACUCCAAGAGUUGGUUAACCAAGGAUAAAUCCUUUCAUGGAUCAAAAUUCUGGGGCAAUCCAUCUCCAAAUUAUGGUACAAUUGCUUUCAAAAUCCUUUCAAGGUAAACAUUUUGCAUAGACCCAUCACAUUGGGGCAAAGAUAAAUCCUUUCAUGGAUCAAAAUUCUGGGGCAAUCCAUCUCCAAAUUAUGGUACAAUUGCUUUCAAAAUCCUUUCAAGGUAAACAUUUUGCAUAGACCCAUCACAUUGGGGCAAGAUGAGCCAUACAAGAGCGAGUCCUUUCCAUGUUUUCAAGCAGUUCAAGUAAAAGCUUUUUCCGCAAGUCAACUGCAGAGUUCAAGAUGAGUGUCGGGGAAUCACGCCAUCACCCCUAUCCAAUAACCUUUUGGCAGACAAAAGUCUUUCUGCAAAGAACCUUCUCUUCCAAUACCCACGCAGGGGCAUUUUGAAAGCCUUCAAAUCAUUGCAUAAAGCAUCCUCAUGCAUUAGUCAUGUCGCUUUGCUCUGACGUAAAACCAUGCAUAUCAUAAAAUUAAUCGGGUCUAACCCCAUAACAUGAACCUGGCAUCAAAAAGCCUUGAAACACAAAAUCGGACACCAAAGCCCAACAUCGCUUGGCCAUUUUAAAGUCCAGUUCUCGUCUGGAAAUUUAUUUCAAAGACCAGUUCCCGUCUGGCAAUUUACUUCAAAGGCCAGUUCCCGUCUGGCAAACCUUUUUCAAAAAAACCAGUUCCCGUCUGACAACUUAUUUCAAAAGCCCAGUUCCCGUUUGGCAAACCUUUUUCAAAAGAACCAGUUCCCGUCUGGCAAUUUACUUCAAAGCCCAAUUCCUGUCUGGUAAUUUAUUUCAAAGUCUAGUUCUUGUCUGGCAACUUAUUCCAAAGUCCAGUUAUCGUCUGGAAAACUAUAUCAAAAAUCAGUUCUUGUACGACAAAUCAUUUGCCAAAUACCAGUUCUCGUCUGGUAAAUUAUCUCUUAAUACCAGUUCUCGUCUGGUAGGUCACCUAUUUUGAUACCAAUUCUCGUAUAGUAGUCAAUUAUUUUCACCAGUUCUCGUCUGGUAGCCUACUUUAAAAAUCAGUUCCUGUCUGAUAAACAAAAGCAAAUUCAGUCCCGUCUGACAUUUCAAUUAUUUUCUCCAGUUCGCGUAUGGUAACAUAUCCUUCAAGUGAUGUCCUUAUCUGGCAGUUUAAUCUCCUUCACCAGUUCUCAUCUGGCAGUUCCCAUUUAAAGUCCAACCUCAUUGGCAAUCAAGAAGUAAACCCUACAAAAACAUCCAAUUACCCAGUUGCAUUCCCACAUGCAUCACACGAAUCAUCCAUACAUGGUUUUCCUACCAAACAAAAAAUUAAAAAACACAGUCAUAUCAAUCAUCAGCAUACUCAUGCAUAACACUCCCACAAAAGGGGAAUUUCAACAAAAUAAAAAUCAUUUGCAUUCCUACAUGCACAGCCAAAUAUCCCCAGCAGUUGCAUACUUGCAUACAUCUCAUGCAUCAUCCCCUGCAUGGCAUUCCCAUCUAAAAUGGAACAUCAUACAAAAAUCAAAUAUAAAAUAUCAAUAUCCAAGAUCAUUCAUGAAUAUCUUAGACAUUUCUCAUUUCCAAAUAAAGUUAUUUCCCUGCAUGUGCUCAUGGAAUUAUUUCUCAGCAAACCAUUUUUCAACUUCAUGAUUAAUAAUGGUAUUCCCAGCAUUUUCGUUGCUAUCAUCGCUCCCCAAGCAGAGGUUACCCUAAAAAGUCUCUUAUGAGCUUUUUCCCCUGCAGAGCAUUUCCAGUAUGUCUCCCUCAAAAGGAACCUUUUCUUAAAGUUCCCCCAACAGACGAAUAUUCGAGAUACUGCUUCAUUUAUCUAAAGAAUCUCAUCUCUCUGUUUGAGAUACUGCUUCAUCAAUUUGAAGAAUCUCAUUUUUUUUCUAGAGAUACUGCUCUAAGUAUCCUCGGAGAGUCUUAGAUUCAAUUAAGGUAUCAUUCCCUUGUUCGGAAUAUCUUAAUUUUAUCAUAUAAGAUGAUGCUUCGACUCGAUACAGAGAAUCUCAUUGUUACUGUUUGAGAUACUGCUUCAUCAAUAUGAAAAGUCUCAUUUUAGAUUUUUUAGAGGUACUGCUCUAAGUAUCCUCGGAGAGUCUUAGAUUCAAUUAAGGUAUCUUUCCCUUGUUGGAAUAUCUUAAUUUUAUCAUAUAAGAUGCUGCUUCGACUCGAUACAGAGAAUCUCAUUUUUACUGUUUGAGAUACUGCUUCAUUAAUAUGAAGAGUCUCAUUUUAGAUUUUUUUAGAGAUAUUUCUCUAAUAUCCUCGGAGAGUCUUAGAUUCAAUUAAGGUAUCUUUCCCUUGCUGGAACAUCUUAAUUCUAUCAUAUAAGAUGUUAUUUCGACUCGAUACAAAGAAUCUCACUUUUACUGUUGAGAUGCUGCUUCAUCAAUAUGAAGAGUCUCACGCCAAAUUUUCUUUAUACUGCUCUAGCAUCCUGAAAAAUCUUGAGAUUUAGCUAGGGAUGUCAUUCCAUUACUAACAUAUCUCGACUAUGACGUCCAAGAUACUAUUCUGACGACUCCCAGAAAGUCUUGGCUGCUCCAUUUUACUUUAGGAUAACGUCUCUCACUAUUUCUCACUGCAUUUUCUUCCUAUAUUUUCUUCCUUGCAUUUCCCAGGACAAAAUUUGGGUCUUUUCGUAUUUAAUUAUCUUCCACUAUGAAUGUACGAAGACUAUUGUCAUUCUUACCUUCUAGUUCAAGAUAAUGAAAUAAGGGCAGCUGUCAUACCCCAAUUUUGUCCGGGCAUAUUUAAAUUUUUGUAAAAUCGAUUUCAUUUUUAAUUUGCAUCAUAUGCACAGCAUGACAUGCAUUCCAUCAUGAAUAAUAAAUUUUUGUAAAAUCGAUUUCAUUUUUAAUUUGCAUCAUAUGCACAGCAUGACAUGCAUUCCAUCAUGAAUAAUAACUAAAAUAUCAGUCAGAAUAAAUUUAUUGAAAAUACAGACAAAUCGAUUGAAUAAUUUCUCAAUAACGUGCACAAAUCAGGAGGUAAAAAGCUUCAAAAUUAAAAUUACAGACACCCGUAUUAUUAAUCUACGAUUCACGUAGUUUAAACUAGUGUGCUCGUUGUUUAUUUUAGCGGCUAUUUCGAUUGCAUUUUGACCCGCCUGAGCCUUUUAACCGGUGCAAAUUUAUUUCAGAAUUUGAAGAAACGCUGUAUUUUUUCAAUAAGUAUAUUUUGUGCCGAUCAUUUUAGUGUGCCUGAUUUAAUUUUUCGAACAAAUUUACGGCCGACUUCUAUUUAUAAUCAAUCCUUUUAUUUCUUUGUUUUAAUAUCCAAAAUUAGAGAUUUGUCCUAUUAUUAUAAUUUUCUAAAUUAAAUUACUAUCUAAGAAUUUUUAAUAAAUAUUUUUUCUUUAAAUAAUAGAUAAUAAGAAUUAUUAAUAAAAAAGAAAAAUAAAAUAAAAUUAAGACACCUCACGUUUCCUCUCUUCCACAAUACUCUCUCACACACGUUACCCUCAUUUCCAUCACCACCUACCCACUCCAUCAGUCUCUCCCAACGAAAAUAAAAAAAAGAAAAGAAUAAGAUUUUGUCUGUUGGAGAUUGUUAUAUUUUACUCUCUCUGCUGACUUCACAAAGGAGACCAACAGACACUAACUUACUCUCUCAAAAAAAAAAGGAUUAAAAAUGGAAAAAGAGAAGAAGCCUCUGGGUCUUUCCCUGAGCGCCUCACCCUUAACCAUUACCAUUCCUCUUCUUCAAAUACUCCAUCGUCUUCCACCCUUUCACCACACUAACACCUCAUUUUCGCUUCCGUCAUCUUUCCCUGAGCGCCUCACCCUUAACCAUUACCAUUCCUCUUCUUCAAAUACUCCAUCGUCUUCCACCCUUUCACCACACUAACACCUCAUUUUCGCUUCCGUCAAAACAACCAACCGCGCCUCCGACGGUUCUCCACCACUCCGUCCUCUGGAUUCAACACCUCCAACCUUCGUCUCUGUUAAAUUUCCAUUUGGUUUAGAAGGCUCGUUCAGCCAUCACUCUAUGUUGCAAUAGUGGCGGUGACGAUGUUUCUUUUGUGACUUAAAAACUCUGAAAAAAGACCAGGUUUUGUAAAGGUAAGACAAUAACGACCACAACCUCGACUCAACCCGUGUUUCCGCAACAACGGGAAUUUGAGCAACUUCGCCUCAUUUCUUUCCGCCGGGCUUCCAUAAUUGACGAAACCAAGCAACAAACCUUCCAGCUCUGCAACGACAACAAAUGACAGCAGUGACACAACUUCGGUAAAUAUCUCGAUUUCG